GGGCCUCUGGCCGUCGUUCACAGCCGGAGCUCACCGGAGAUACCCUUUGCUGCUCCCCACCCAUCCAGCCCCACUACAACAAAAAACCCCGUGUAGCAACGCAUGUUUAGCAAUGAAGAUAGCAUUGAUGUGUUGUUUGGUUGAAUAUCCCACAUUCCCCACUUAGCGCUAACCUCCCCGUACCCUCUUCUGUCUCGUCGCUCGCGCACGAAGUCUAUUAUCCCUUCGUUUUGGCCUUUAUCUUUAAAAAAAAUCCUAAACGAGAGACACACUGCAUCGGCCUCCACCCCCUUCCCUCACCGCCGCCGUCCCCUUGCCCCGCCUCCCCCUGUUCCUUCGCCGAGCCCCCCUCCCUUGCCACUUUCUCCACGCGUUGGGGCUGCACACUGCGUCUUCGCCAUCAUCCUCGCGUCGGGGACGCGCAUGGCGUCGUUGCCAUCCUCCUCGCGUUGGGGAAGGUGCCGCCGCCGCCGUUCCUCCGCGCGACCUGAGAUGCCGAGGCCGCCGUUCUUCCUCUGCACAGCCAGGGACGACGCAAGCACCGACGCCCCCGUCCUCAACUGCAUCAGUUCAGUAGAGAGAUUUCCAGGUGUAGUGAUAUGAGUACUGCUACAUGAGGGGAAAAGACCCUGCAAGACAAUGCAGUGAAAUAAAUGCAGGAUUCUUCUACUCAAACACUGAACAAGGAGAAAAUUAAAGAUGGUUUCUUCCGAGAGACGUCAAGUUGAUGAACAUGUCAGUAAGAUCAUUGAAAUGAAAAAUAAUGUAUUUUGCUUAGUGUGUCCCUUGCUCUCUCUCUCUCUCUCUCUCUCUCUCUCUCUCUCUCUCUCUGAAAAGAUUGUGCUUGCGCGUUUCAAUGACAUGCAGUUUCUCUCAGGAAGUUACAAUAUUUUUGUGGUGAUCAACCAGAAAACCAUUGGUCCUCCAUCCAUCGAUCUCCUAGCUAAACUAGGGGUAACAAAAUCUGACUUGUUACUACAUGAAUGUUCUAUUUCACUUACAUUUAACCCUGUGAGCUGUUUGGGGUUCCAGUUUAGUUCAGAAUGUGGGUCAUGAUGUCACCAGCUGAACUUGGAACAUGAAAGUUGUUUGACCUUAUACAUAAUGCUACUCUAUAAGUCAUGAAACAGCCAGAGUUUAAGACAAAACCCAUGUAGAAACCAGACUUCCUAUGGUGGUUCAGUCUGGCAGGCUCAUCUUUCCCAGCUGCCAAUGAAUUAUUAUUUUUAUAUAUAAUUAGGGUACACUUGUCUAUACUACUUAGAUCCUGCAUCCCUUCAAGGUCAAGUCGGGGCUCCGGGUUGGCGUCAUGAUGAGCAGAAGUGGAUUAGAUAGUUCGUAGUUUUCUUGCACUCCCCCCUCCCCCUGUUUCUUAGUUCAUUAUGCAUGUAUUCUUCAUCCAGCUGUCCCAAAUCUGGUGAUGGUUUUUUUUUUCUCGUGUUGUUGCUUCUGCAGGUUCUGAGAACUUUAUUCAUGGAUCAAGAAAUUCUAAUCUGGACUUGGUAAAUCUCAGUAAUUACGAUCUCUUGUGUGACGUAGAAUAUUUGAAGAUUUUCAAGUUGUUGCACUGAGAUUUCUCCUAAUACAACAAAACACGCAUGACUAAUAGAUCAUCCCAAGCAAGAGUAGUACGGGAGCAAUCUAACGCAAAGCUAGCUAGUGUAGAGACCUCUCGAAAAUGGAAAUGUUCAAUUCAGUAUAUUCAGAAUUAUUAGUUAGCUACUUGUCAUUUAGUUGCUAAAUUCAUCUCAUUUUUCAUAUAAUAUAAUUUUUAGUAGUAUAUGCAAGCUGAUGGUUGUUCACAACGAACAGCCACAUCUGAUUGGUCAAAGGUGCUCUGUGUAUUAAUAUGCAGCUUCUAAUGAGACAUCGAUAUUCAGAACAUGUGCAAGGCAAUUAAGAUAAAUAGAAUGCCCUCAGUUUACAAAGAA